rnacentral:rRNA from 1 species
UGGGGAAUCUUGGACAAUGGGCGCAAGCCUGAUCCAGCCAUGCCGCGUGAGCGAUGAAGGCCUUAGGGUUGUAAAGCUCUUUCACCGGUGAAGAUAAUGACGGUAGCCGGAGAAGAAGCCCCGGCUAACUCCGUGCCAGCAGCCGCGGUAAUACGGAGGGGGCUAGCGUUGUUCGGAAUUACUGGGCGUAAAGCGCACGUAGGCGGACCAGAAAGUUGGGGGUGAAAUCCCGGGGGCUCAACCCCGGAACUGCCUCCAAAACUAUUGGUCUAGAGUUCGAGAGAGGUGAGUGGAAUUCCAAGUGUAGAGGUGAAAUUCGUAGAUAUUUGGAGGAACACCAGUGGCGAAGGCGGCUCACUGGCUCGAUACUGACGCUGAGGUGCGAAAGUGUGGGGAGCAAACAGGAUUAGAUACCCUGGUAGUCCACACCGUAAAACGAUGAAUGCCAGUCGUCGGGUAGCAUGCUAUUCGGUGACACACCUAACGGAUUAAGCAUUCCGCCUGGGGAGUAC